rnacentral:rRNA from 1 species
UGUGAACUGCAGGACACAUGAACAUCGACAAGUUGAACGCAUAUCGCACUUCUUGCUUUUUAUUCUAUUUAGUUAGAAUGGCUUGAGGUUCAUAUGGUUGAGUGCUA